rnacentral:rRNA from 1 species
GAUGAACGCUAGCGGGAGGCUUAACACAUGCAAGUCGAGGGGCAGCAUAGGGUAGCAAUACUCUGAUGGCGACCGGCAAACGGGUGAGUAACGCGUAUGCAACCUACCCUGUACAGGGGGAUAACCCGGAGAAAUUCGGACUAAUAUCCCGUAAUAAUAUCCGGAGGCAUCUUUGGAUAUUUAAAGUUCCGACGGUACGGGAUGGGCAUGCGUAACAUUAGCUGGUUGGUAAGGUAACGGCUUACCAAGGCUAUGAUGUUUAGGGGUCCUGAGAGGGUGGUCCCCCACACUGGUACUGAGACACGGACCAGACUCCUACGGGAGGCAGCAGUGAGGAAUAUUGGUCAAUGGGCGCAAGCCUGAACCAGCCAUCCCGCGUGCAGGAAGACGGCCCUAUGGGUUGUAAACUGCUUUUCCAGGGAGAGAAACUUACGCACGUGUUGCGUGACUGACGGUACCCUGGGAAUAAGCAUCGGCUAACUCCGUGCCAGCAGCCGCGGUAAUCA